rnacentral:rRNA from 1 species
CCUACGGGAGGCAGCAGUGGGGGAUAUUGGACAAUGGGCGAAAGCCUGACCCAGCGACGCCGCGUGAACGAAGAAGUCUUUCGGUAUGUAAAGCUCUAUCAGCAGGGAAGAGGAGAUGACGGUACCUGAGUAAGAAGCACCGGCUAAAUACGUGCCAGCAGCCGCGGUAAUACGUAUGUUGCAAGCGUUAUCCGGAUUUACUGGGUGUAAAGGGCGUGUAGCGGGUACGGCAAGCCUGAUGUGAAAGCCAGCGGCCCAACCUCCGGACUGCAGUGGAAACUGUCGGGCUGGAGUACCGGAGAGGUAGGCGGAAUUCCUUGUGUAGCGGUGAAAUGCGUAGAUAUAAGGAGGAACACCAGUGGCGAAGGCGGUCUGCUGGACAGCAACUGACGGUGAGGCUCGAAAGCGUGGGGAGCAAACAGGAUUAGAUACCCGUGUAGUC